UCGAGAAUCAUUCACAAUGGGGGAAACCCUGAUGGUGCGACGCCGCGUGGGGGAAUGAAGGUCUUCGGAUUGUAAACCCCUGUCAUGUGGGAGCAAAUUAAAAAGAUAGUACCACAAGAGGAAGAGACGGCUAACUCUGUGCCAGCAGCCGCGGUAAUACAGAGGUCUCAAGCGUUGUUCGGAAUCACUGGGCGUAAAGCGUGCGUAGGCUGUUUCGUAAGUCGUGUGUGAAAGGCGCGGGCUCAACCCGCGGACGGCACAUGAUACUGCGAGACUAGAGUAAUGGAGGGGGAACCGGAAUUCUCGGUGUAGCAGUGAAAUGCGUAGAUAUCGAGAGGAACACUCGUGGCGAAGGCGGGUUCCUGGACAUUAACUGACGCUGAGGCACGAAGGCCAGGGGAGCGAAAGGGAUUAGAUACCCCUGUAGUCCUGGCAGUAAACGGUGCACGCUUGGUGUGCGGGGAAUCGACCCCCUGCGUGCCGGAGCUAACGCGUUAAGCGUGCCGCCUGGGGAGUACGGUCGCAAGAUUAAAACUCAAAGAAAUUGACGGGGACCCGCACAAGCGGUGGAGUAUGUGGCUUAAUUCGAUGCAACGCGAAGAACCUUACCUGGGCUUGACAUGUAAUGAACAACAUGUGAAAGCAUGCGACUCUUCGGAGGCGUUACACAGGUGCUGCAUGGCCGUCGUCAGCUCGUGUCGUGAGAUGUUUGGUUAAGUCCAGCAACGAGCGCAACCCCUGUUGCCAGUUACCAGCACGUGAAGGUGGGGACUCUGGCGAGACUGCCCAGAUCAACUGGGAGGAAGGUGGGGACGACGUCAGGUCAGUAUGGCCCUUAUGCCCAGGGCUGCACACGUACUACAAUGCCCAGUACAGAGGGGGCCGAAGCCGCGAGGCGGAGGAAAUCCUGAAAACUGGGCCCAGUUCGGACUGUAGGCUGCAACCCGCCUACACGAAGCCGGAAUCGCUAGUAAUGGCGCAUCAGCUACGGCGCCGUGAAUACGUUCCC
rnacentral:rRNA from 1 species